AACGUUACCGGGGAAACCGGAGCUAAUACCGGAUAAUAUAUGAACCGCAUGGUUCAAUAGUGAAAGACGGUUUUGCUGUCACUUAUAGAUGGAUCCGCGCCGCAUUAGCUAGUUGGUAAGGUAACGGCUUACCAAGGCAACGAUGCGUAGCCGACCUGAGAGGGUGAUCGGCCACACUGGAACUGAGACACGGUCCAGACUCCUACGGGAGGCAGCAGGA
rnacentral:rRNA from 1 species